CAAUAAAAGAUAAUAAACUAUUUAGCUUCAAAGAAAUAACAAUAGCGGAUGAUAUGCUCUUAGGAUAUGCAUCCUAUUUUCCUUCUCUCUUUCAUAAACUCAUUCACUUUAAUUAAACCCGUAGAUUUAAUUAUUGGUAUUAAUUAAUCGAGAGAUUAAUUAAUUUAAUAAACUUGAGGAUUUACAUACAAACCCACUUACUCAAAAUUAAUUCAAGAGAAUUUUAUCUCGAGCGAUUAAUUCAAUCAUAAAUAAUGAAUUCCAAAUAAGGACUAAUUAAUUUUAGUCUAACACUCAUUUGAUAUUUGAAAGGCCCAAAAGUCAAGGGAGCAAAAUCAUUAUUUCAAUUACCUACUGAGUCAAACUAGCUGCUAUACGUAACUUCUUUCUUAUCAUCAUUUAUCUCUAUUCUCUUCCUAACUCUCUCUCUCUCUUUCUUUUUCUUUUCUAAAUUUUCGCCACACAAGGUGCAGCCUCGAGUUUCUUCACGAUCGGGAAUUCAAACAACAUCCGAUUGUCACGAAAUUUUAACCAAAGAAAUAAUUUCGGAAGUGGCUGUCGGUUUCUACAGUAGCAGCGUCGAUUUUCUAUACGAUCGGGGGUUCAAACGUAGUCCGAUCGUUCUGAAAUUUUAAAGGAAGGUAAACAACUUAUCUAACUUCAUUAUGACCAAAGGAAAUUUCAUUUGGACGGUUAGAUUUUCUAUUAUAAAUUUCCGAAGUGGCUGCUAAAACAAGAGGCUUAUUUUGAAACAUGUUAGGAGAUUUUCUAGUUUCUUGAAUAAAAACAAAUAUGACGUAUUUGGUAAAAGGAGAGCAUGCUUGGUUGUGAUUCUAUGUUCUAUAUGAAUUCAUGCUAACAUGACGUGCUUGAUAAAACUUGAAAAGAGUUAACUUGCGGUUUGAAAAUCAUUACCUCAAAAGAACGAUAAAAGGUUUAUUUAGAAGUGCUUCUGCUUGAAAUUCUCCUUCUUGAAAAAUGCUUGCUUGAAACUUGCUAGGAAAGAUGGAAAACUUUUCUGUCUGCUUGCUUAAAAUUUUGGGUGAAAA